AGUGAACGCUGGCGGUAGGCCUAACACAUGCAAGUCGAACGGCAGCACAGUAAGAGCUUGCUCUUACGGGUGGCGAGUGGCGGACGGGUGAGGAAUACAUCGGAAUCUACUUUUUCGUGGGGGAUAACGUAGGGAAACUUACGCUAAUACCGCAUACGACCUACGGGUGAAAGCAGGGGAUCUUCGGACCUUUCGCGAUUGAAUGAGCCGAUGUCGGAUUAGCUAGUUGGCGGGGUAAAGGCCCACCAAGGCGACGAUCCGUAGCUGGUCUGAGAGGAUGAUCAGCCACACUGGAACUGAGACACGGUCCAGACUCCUACGGGAGGCAGCAGUGGGGAAUAUUGGACAAUGGGCGCAAGCCUGAUCCAGCCAUGCCGCGUGGGUGAAGAAGGCCUUCGGGUUGUAAAGCCCUUUUGUUGGGGAAGAACAGCAGCAGGUUAAUACCCCGCUGUUCUGACGGUACCCAAAGAAUAAGCACCGGCUAACUUCGUG
rnacentral:rRNA from 1 species